GGACUCCACCACUUCCUGCAAAGGACACUCUCUGCCCUGUCUGUGGUUGUUGAAGCUUCCAGGAGCUGACGCCCUCCAGGCUGCCUGUCCUACGCGGGCCAUCGCCACCUCCUUCCUUGUGUGCUCCCUCUGCCUGGCCCCCUCCUCCUACUGCUGCUCCUCCUGGCCAGCUCCUCCAAGGCCCUUCCUCACUGCCCCAGGCCUGCCGGCUGGUUAACUUCUUCCUUCCUGUGGAAACCCAGUCCACUUGUCAGGCCCCUGGUCAGCUCUUAAUAUACAGGUGGAGAGAAGGGAGCAAUGACCAGCAUUGCUGUGUGUUUGCCUGCAGUAUUUGCCAUGGCCGGAGUCCCCUGCAAGGCCCCAGCCACCUCUCAGCUCUCUGGCUCUGACCUCUCCCCACUCCUGCAGGUUCUUGUCCCCAGAAAGGCUCUGUUCCUCACCGCCAUUCGCUCUGGACACCUUGGGGUGUAGCCCAGUUGAGGUCCGGAUCUGCUGAAGCUUACAUCCCAGGACCUUAUCCAAAUCUGCGGGGCUGCUGAUGGGAUCCGCCUUUUCAAUACUCUUAGAGCCAGGUGCUGGGCACUGCCAACCAGGGUCCCCUUCCCACUGUAGUGGCCCUUACUAACUU